GACGAACGCUGGCGGCGUGCCUAACACAUGCAAGUCGAGCGGGGAUUGUGGAGAGCUUGCUCAAAGCAAUUCUAGCGGCGGACGGGUGAGUAACGCGUGAGUAACCUGCCUUCAGGAGGGGGACAACAUUCCGAAAGGGAUGCUAAUACCGCAUGAUAUUGUUUUAUCGCAUGGUUUAACAAUCAAAGAUUUAUCGCCUGAAGAUGGACUCGCGUCUGAUUAGCUAGUUGGUGGGGUAACGGCCUACCAAGGCGACGAUCGAGUAGCCGAACUGAGAGGUUGAUCGGCCACAUUGGGACUGAGACACGGCCCAAACUCCUACGGGAGGCAGCAGUGGGGAAUAUUGCACAAUGGGGGAAACCCUGAUGCAGCGACGCCGCGUGAGUGAAGAAGUAUUUCGGUAUGUAAAGCUCUAUCAGCAGGGAAGAAAAUGACGGUACCUGACUAAGAAGCCCCGGCUAACUACGUG
rnacentral:rRNA from 1 species